CCCCAUGGCCUUCCAGCUUGUGGGAUAACUCCAGGGGCUGGCCCAAGGGAGUGGGGGAACAGGGUGCAGCUCCAUUUAGGGAGCAGGUCUUGGGAGGCUAAGAGCAAGGGUGGAGCUAGGUAUUAGAGUUGCGAAGAUGGGAAGGCAAUGUGCCUGCCUGCCAGGAAAGGCUGCAGCAGAGGCCCCCAGACAGCAUGGGGACGACAGGGAUGAGUGCUUGAGUCUACAUGGGGACAUCAGGAAGCCCUCACAGAAGAGCUAAGACAUGCAGGAUAGAGGGUACUUGCCAAGGAAACAAAUGAGGAGAGGGCAUUCCAGGCAGAGGGAACAGCAUGUACAAAGGCACGGAUGCCCUGGGCAUCCUGUCGACCAGAAGCGGCUAAGUACUGCUAGAUCCUAAAGCUCAAGGUAGAAGGAGCAGGACACGAAGUGAGUCAGGCCGAGAGGUUUGGAGCAUUACCUGAGGUGCUGCAGGAGUGUAGAGGAAAGGGACAUGGUGAGAUUCGUAAUGUAGAUAGAGCUCUACCCACGACUCUGCAACCAGGAAGAGCAUGCAGGUGUGGGAGCAGCAUGGCAGGGUAGAGGCCAGGGGCUUGGUGGUUGAUGAGACCUGGCCCUUCCUUGGACAAGCUCCUGAAUGUCUCCUGGUCUCUCCUGUGAAAUCAGCAUAACAGAAUCUGCACUUCAAGGUGUUGUGAUUAUGAGAAAGCAAUACAGGUGGGGUGUGGGUAAGUGGUGCCUGGCUUACAAGAGGCCUUCAGUGCAUAGAAGCCAUGAGUAGCAGCAGUACAGUGAAGACCCACUGAGUCACACUGAGAUUCUGCAGACUGAACCAGCUAUACUCAGCAACUCACAUGGGGAAAAGUGCAAGAGGGAAAAUGGUGUAUUAAAGACAGCUACAAAUUCUUUGAUACUUCUCCCAUAGAUAGGCGGGGGUCUGUGUCCCCUCCCCUUGAUUUUAGAAGGUUGACCAGCAGGAUACAGUACAAACGAUGCUCUCCAGGGUCUAAGACCAGGCAUUGAGGAACUAUCCGCUUCCCUCCCUGUGUCUGGGCGCACUCUCUGAAAGCCCCGGGCUGCGGGCUGGAGAGACCACGCUCCAGUCGGCAGCCCCACCUGUGCUCAGCCCUGCAGCUGUCCCCGGACGCACCGGCCAUGCAGGUGAAGUCAUCUCAGAGCCUCCAGGCCAACUCGUCACCAGCUGAAAUCACUGAGUGACCUCAGCCAAGGCCACAGGGAAACAAAAUCCAUCCGCCGGAGCCCUGCCUGGACUCUGACCCGCUGGAUCCCAAGGUAUGAUAAACGAUUGUGUUUUAAGCCAGAGAAUCUUGGAGUGAUUUGUCACAUCGCAGUAGCAAUAGAUGGCAGGGAGGCAGUGAAGGGCCCCUGCAGGGACGGUGGGCCGUGCUGGGGGCUUGCUGAGUGCUUUGGGAGGGCCAGGAGAGAGCUGCCAGCUCCUCACAUGAGGGCCAUUCGAUCUGAGUCUCAGAGGAGGGUAUUCUAGCCAGGACUUUUUUGGCUUCGUGAUAAUAAAAGUCUCUUCAAACUAGCACAGGUGACAAAGAAGCUCUUACUGAGAGGAUGGAGGGAUCUUAUGGAGCCCAAGCUCAGGAGAUGAGCGAUGUGGCCCAGAGAUCUUUGAACUGGGGCAGGACACUGAGAAAGCCAGAGAGCCACAGGAGGACCCCCAGCCCCCUCUGGGGGCUAUUUCCAUUCCCCUCUGGGUGCCUCUUUGCUGUUCCACUCUCUGCGAAUCAGCUCCUUCUGUUUGCUCAUUAGCUUGUAGAUGACUCCAAAACAGCUGCCAUAGGCCCCAAGCCUAGAAUCCAGACAAGUUCUAGUACCCUCUGUCACUCGGGGCCACAAUUUGUAGAAUUAAUUCUGGAUCAGUCUGACUGAUCCGGCCCAAUUCUCCCAUCCAGGCCACCCACGUCGCUAGCCUGCCAAUGGUCUCUAUUGUUUUGGCUCAGGUGACUUCCCUGGUCCAGUCGGCAGCGUCUCUCCCAAGGGCUGUGGGCCAGGCAGGUUACAGGGGAGUGCUCUUGCUUUUGUUUUGUUUUUGUUUUUAAGCCGGUGGAGAGAGAGAGGAGAAGAAAUGAAGAAAGGGCCUGCCUGGCAGGAGAGCGGCAGGUGUGAGGGCCGGAAGUGUGAGAGAUCACGCCCACUGGAGGCACCUCGGGAGGGUGAGGAAAGAACACCCCCCAGGGGCACUGCUCCAGCAGUGACGGGAAUGGCACAGGCACAGCCACUCAGAGCAGGCAGCACCUGGGAACACCCGGGAUGGCAGGAAGGCCUGAUGGUCAGGCCUGCCUGGAUCUGGUAGAAAGUCUCCCGUGUGUGUGCAUUUUUACUGAAGGGUGUGGUCCUCCCUUAUCAGCCCUCUGUGACCUCACUUCCUCCUUUACCAAACGAACAUUUCUGAGACUCCAGGGGAAGCGCUGGGUUUGUGGUGUCUGCCCAGGGUUUGGGGGUCACUUUCAGGCCCCUGUGGAGUGGACAGCACAGUUAUCUCUUCUAGGUUUUAGGGGAGAUUUGAGCUGCUUUUCUCUUUCUCAGCCUUUCUGGGAAUACAGGGAGGAGGAAGCAGUUUGAGUCCCAUUGCAGGCCGUGGAGAGUUCUGGAUGAGCAAGCACUGAAAACGUGGGACGUUGCUGAAAAGGGUUUCUCAGCCAGCAACACUUUCUCCCCUUGCUGGGGCUACACGUCUUUGCAGUGAAAGAGAUUGGAUUCUGAGCUACCAGAGAGAGGACAUGAAUAAGUAAGGACUCUUUUUCUCUCUCUCUUUUUAGUCACAUCUUCACAUAGACCCUCAUGAAAGAGCUCAAAAGAGCCACAGCAAAAGCCAUCACCCACCUGAGCCCUGCAGCUCUGUCUUUAGAAUCCCAGCUCCUUACAAACCUCCUUCCUGUUCAGGAGAAUGUCUGACUCCAAAGCCCGUUAUCGCAACCCUUUUAACAGAUGAGGAAACUGAGCUCAGAGACAAGGAAGUUGUCACUUGUGCAAACUCACAAGCCAUCAGUGGGAAGUGAGACUAAGGCUGGACCUUCACUCCAAUGGCCCCUAGAGAAUGCUUAGCAUCACAUAAUAAAUUCUUUUCAGACUGUU